rnacentral:misc_RNA from 1 species
UCCGAUUUACACCGGCGGUCUCCUAUGAGUUCCCGACAUUACUCGCUGGCAACAUAGAACGAGGGUUGCGCUCGUUGGCGGACUUAACCGUACACCUCACGGCACGAGCUGACGACAGCCAUGCAACAAGUGUCUUCACGUCUCCUUGUGGGAGAGGGCCUAAUUUCUUAGGCUUGCGAUCGAUGUCAAGUCUGGGUAAGGUUCUUCGGUUAGUAUCGAAUUAAUCCACAUGCUCCACCGCUUGUGCGGGUCCCCGUCAAUUCAUUUGAGUUUCAACCUUGCGGCCGUACUCCCCAGGCGGGAUACUUAGUGCGUUAGCUGCGACACAAGAGGGGUCGAUACCUCUUACGUCUAGUAUCCAUCGUUUAGGGCGUGGACUAC